AGAUUCGUAUGUUGCUAGAUUAGGCUUAGCUUAUCCUGGCAUCCGACAUUACAUAGUACACUAGCGGGAAAUUCUCCGACUGAUCCAAGUGGCUACGUGACGAUAGUGCUACUAAGUUACUACUUUUCGAUUUCCGCGUUUCCAGGAGAUCUCAGUACAGUACUAGGGAAAUCACCCGGGCUGCAUGUUACGGUACAUUCUAUUGGCUACCUAGUGUAAAACACCUCACUUCUUGUCAAUCUGUCCUGCACCCCCAUCACCUGUGCUCACCAUCUCCACUUGCGAGAAAAAAAAAUUACCCCGACAUUUCACAGCCUUCUAUAUUAGUUUCAUGACACUCUCGCCAAUGCUUCGACACCUCCGCAAUCUGACGAUGCUCAUAAAACUUUCCACAACAUUUGAACACCUCAAGGUGAUGUCCGAAACGGCCUCUGUCACGCGCCAUCUCCGCCUUCACCUGCGAAAAAGGCACACUGUGCUUAACGCACCGAUGCUGCCACAAUAACUCUGGUGCCGACUGGCCCACGAACCGAGCGUUACAUUCCUCUUGCACGAAAAGGGAUGCUUGAUACGACCAAUUAUACAGUGAUUCUCGAAAUGGCCAUGACCAGAACUUACAAGUCUUUCUUGUUUGGAGUCCUACUUCGUCCUCUGUCCUGGAUGAGCAAAUGGAUAUGAUUGAUCACCUCUCAAUUCAGCCAAACAAAGAAAGGGUAAUGUUUCAGGAGUUUGCUAACGUGGGGGGAGUAACUUGAGUCAGUCCGAUUUUUAGAAUGACUGUAAGCAAAAGCUCCUUCAGAAACAUUAAAUAAACAAUGUCAUCGCCCAUAGGAAUCUCUCAAUUUAUAGAAACCUCCUAUGUGGGGCAAAACCUGUGCACCACGUCUACUAUGUAGUCAACUUAGCAAUGCCACGUCAUCAACGGGCUCACUCCACAAAGGCAGGGGUAAGGCUGAUUCCCUUUCAGCCUCGUACGCAGUCGAUUCGAAUCCUGUGGCCGCCAAAAAUGAGCAGGUUAUCAGCCAUAUCCGCUAGCCUAUCUAUGGUGUCACAGCAUGCAGCCCCGUAGUACGUAUUUGUGACAACUUGCGAUAAUAGCACGUGCCAUGGGCUAUUUUCUACGUAUUAGGAUUUCAAGCGACGUCAUACUAUGCUUACGGUUAGGCUGAUAACAAGUUAAACAAUCAAUGUGAGUCGAAGCGCGCACUGGUUUUGCAACCAAGUGUAUCAUUUAUCGCUAUGUUUGGAUUUGUCUGAGGGGAGGCUGGUACCUCGGACAAGAAGCGCAAGCAUACAACCCAUCAGGACCGAGCGACAGAGAUUUUUACUUUCAGCAAGGUGAAAUACUCAUCAGAUAUGUGAUUGGACAAUGGAAGGGCGGUAGAAUACUUGAUUCCAUUCGUGGAGAUGCGCCUAUGCAGAGACCAUCAGAAGAGUUGUCUGACUCAAGCAUACUAUAAAUGUUGCGUGGUGCUGUUGGUGUAGUAGCUGUAGUUCCUGUUCCAAUCGGAGGUUUCGUAGCCACCACCGCCAUAACCGCAGAUUGCACAGCCAAUGUCUCCAUCAGGAUAGACGUAGCCAUUGAGGUAUUGGUAGUAGUUGACACCUGGAGAGGUUGCAUUAGCUGAGAGCUCGACCAAGUCAUCUAUUGGAAUAUAGAGGAGAGACGACAGCUGGACCUUAUGUUAAUCUUGAAUAUUCAUGAAUAAUGUGCCGCAGUCAAGAAUGAAUUAUUACGACUAUUACUAGACAUCAGCCAGGGUUAUUCCGGAUCUAGCUGUAUAUAGACUAGGAAAUCAUUAGCGCUGUUUCAGAUGAAAGAGAUGAGAGUGUUCAUUGUUACUCUAAAGGUGCAAACUGCUGUACCAAUCACAUUUGGAAUCACAUCCUGUCGGGUAGGUUAGAAUAUUCGGAGCAUAAGGCUGUCACCGAAUCUGCCAGAACUCUGAGAAAACCAGAUACAG
rnacentral:lncRNA from 1 species